rnacentral:rRNA from 1 species
GGGGAAUAUUGGACAAUGGGCGAAAGCCUGAUCCAGCCAUGCCGCGUGAGUGAUGAGGGCCCUAGGGUUGUAAAGCUCUUUUGUGCGGGAAGAUAAUGACGGUACCGCAAGAAUAAGCCCCGGCUAACUUCGUGCCAGCAGCCGCGGUAAUACGAAGGGGGCUAGCGUUGCUCGGAAUCACUGGGCGUAAAGGGUGCGUAGGCGGGUUUCUAAGUCAGAGGUGAAAGCCUGGAGCUCAACUCCAGAACUGCCUUUGAUACUGGAAGUCUUGAGUUCGUGAGAGGUGAGUGGAACUGCGAGUGGAGAGGUGAAAUUCGUAGAUAUUCGCAAGAACACCAGUGGCGAAGGCGGCUCACUGGCCAGAUACUGACGCUGAGGCACAAAAGCGUGGGGAGCAAACA